rnacentral:rRNA from 1 species
CCUACGGGAGGCAGCAGUGGGGAAUUUUGGACAAUGGGCGCAAGCCUGAUCCAGCUAUUCCGCGUGUGGGAAGACGGCCUUCGGGUUGUAAACCACUUUUGUAGAGAACGAAAAGUCUAUUGCUAAUACCGAUAGAUGAUGACGUUACUCUAAGAAUAAGCACCGGCUAACUACGUGCCAGCAGCCGCGGUAAUACGUAGGGUGCGCGCGUUAAUCGGAAUUACUGGGCGUAAAGGGUGUGCAGGCGGUUUUGCAAGAUGGAUGUGAAAGCCCCGGGCUUAACCUGGGAAAGACAUACAUGACUGCAAGACUAGAGUGCGUCAGAGGGGGGUGGAAUUCCAAGUGUAGCAGUGAAAUGCGUAGAUAUUUGGAAGAACACCGAUGGCGAAGGCAGCCCCCUGGGACGCAACUGACGCUCAUACACGAAAGCGUGGGGAGCAAACAGGAUUAGAUACCCGAGUAGUC